UGUUUAUUUAAACCAUAGACUAUAUUUAUAUAGAGGCGCCAGCCAGUUAAGUCCGAGGAGACGUACGCUGCGCGGCGGUCAGACGUCAGAGCGGGACAACAAAUAUAGCAGGCAGAUCAGAACAAAAUAGUCCUGAUAGUGGUGGUGCUUCUGGUUGCUGUAUUGAUCGUGUUAAUCCUGAACCUGAGGAAAAAAUAUCACAGUAACCGAAAAGAUGAUUAUAUUGAACAGAGGCCUAGGAAUGGACCCUCUAAUGGCACAACAAAUAUGAACCUAAUGGCGAACCAAAGAAUGUUAAGACAGAGUGAGAAUGAAAGUGACGAGUAGUAACAGAGGGAAGAAACUUGCAACUACAUACAGGAGUAUGUGGAACAAUGAGAGAUCAAAAAUCAGAUGGUUGCACAGGAAUAAAUGACAUGUAUCUGGAUCUACAGCUUUCUCCGUCCCUUUGUGCUUCACAACAACUGAAGAAUAUGACCUGACUACAGAAUCUGCUUCAAUACUCACACCUAGACCUGACUAUUGCAGCUUUUUUUUUUUUUGGAAUCAGACCCUGGUUUAGAUGUCCACACCUACACCCCACAACAGGCCUUCAAACUCAUGGAAUAUAGUCUGUCCUUCUCUGGGAUCUGCUUCAGUCCUGGUUCCUCAGAAGUGUGAUUUGUGUCCACUGUGGGAAAAUAAUUUUAAGUCAUUGUUUUAAUUCCUUUUAGUUCUAGCAUAUUUUUGUGGAUCAUGCUGAAGCCAAAUCGUUACAAUGCUAGUUAAAUUCAAACUUUACAUUAGACUUGUGGUUCCUGUAUCUCAUUCAUUUGAAAGGAAAGGGCAAGGUAACUCAGGAUAUCAUCUGUCCCUUGGUGAAAUCUGUCCCAUUGUUUAAGGUGGCCAUUUGAAUCAACGUCUGAGUCACGAAGGAAUGCCAAGCGUUAGAGGUGAACUCAUUCCUAUGAUAAUGAAGGUGUCUGAGAAAGACUGUUGUUUUAAUUGGAUCAAGGGCAGGUGAAAUUCCAGGAUCUGGUGUGGGGCUGUUACAUCCUUUCAUGCACCAUAGGGUUUUGUCUCUAUCUGAUGGGACUGCCCCCUAUAAUGUGUAUAUUUACAAUGAAUUACAACUUAGUUAGACUUGAUGACUACAGCACCCAUGCCAGUACACUCUGACUUGAAGACUCAUGUUCAUCGAGUGUCUACUCAAUAAUGAAUACUGCACAAGGAAAUCCAGUGCCUCUUUUCCACCGGAAAGAACCGGGUGCUGGUUCAGAGCUAGCACUGGUGCUGGUUCAAAGUUGGUUCCACUGGUGAACCUUCUAAGAACCGGUUUGCCUUUCCACCAGCUAGAGAGCCAUC